AGUGAACGCUGGCGGUAGGCCUAACACAUGCAAGUCGAACGGCAGCACAGUAAGAGCUUGCUCUUACGGGUGGCGAGUGGCGGACGGGUGAGGAAUACAUCGGAAUCUACUUUUUCGUGGGGGAUAACGUAGGGAAACUUACGCUAAUACCGCAUACGACCUACGGGUGAAAGCAGGGGAUCUUCGGACCUUGCGCGAUUGAAUGAGCCGAUGUCGGAUUAGCUAGUUGGCGGGGUAAAGGCCCACCAAGGCGACGAUCCGUAGCUGGUCUGAGAGGAUGAUCAGCCACACUGGAACUGAGCCACGGACCAGACUCCUACGGGAGGCAGCAGUGGGGAAUAUUGGACAAUGGGCGCAAGCCUGAUCCAGCCAUACCGCGUGGGUGAAGAAGGCCUUCGGGUUGUAAAGCCCUUUUGUUGGGAAAGAAAAGCAGCAGGUUAAUACCCCGCUGUUCUGACGGUACCCAAAGAAGAAGCACCGGCUAACUUCGUG
rnacentral:rRNA from 1 species